CGCGUAACACGUAAGAAACCUGCCUCGAAGCUGGGGACAACGGCCCGAAAGGGCCGCUAAUACCGAAUGUGGACGAUUGACCGCAUGGUCAGUCGUUUAAAGCCUUGUGCACUUCGAGAUGGUCUUGCGGCCUAUCAGGUUGAUGGUGGGGUAACGGCCUACCAUGCCGACGACGGGUAGCUGGUCUGAGAGGAUGGUCAGCCGGAUUGGGACUGAGAUACGGCCCAG
rnacentral:rRNA from 1 species